AUGGCGAAACCAAACCGCAACGCCGCGCCUCCCACACAACAACAACAUACGCAACAAUCGGUUACUACACCACCAAGGCUCCAGAGUACCACCCCAACUUAUAUGCCCCGAGUUAAUACACAGAAGCCCUGAAGUAUAACUCUGCCCCGAGCUACACCACCAAAGAGCUGGAUUACUACACCGAGGCCCCCAAGUACUACACCACUAAGCCACCGGAUUAUGAUACCAUAACUUACGCUUCCCCAAGCUACAACACCGAUGCCCCGAAUUAUUACUCUGCCUCGAGCUACACCACCAAGGCAGCGGAGCGGACUACGUAUGCUGCCCUUUUUUACUACACCGAGACUCCCAAGUACUACUGUGUUCCCAGCUACCACACCGAGGCUCCAGCUACCACAUCGAGGCCCCAGCUACCACACCGAGGCUCCAGCUAAUUUCUCGACCCAAACGGUCGAAUACUACACCGAAGCACCCAAAUACUACUCUGCCACGAUCUACACAGCCACAACUGAGGCGGUCAAGCAUUACGCAGCCCCGACUUACUACACAGAAGCUACUCCUUCCUACUACGUUGAACAGAAAUUCUACACUGAUGCUCCAGUUUACUACACCCCAACCUACGCUACAUUUAGCAACAACACCGAAGCCCCCAAGUACUACAUCGAAGAAGCAUCAUAUUACACAACCACGUACGCUGUCCCACUUUAGUACACCGAGGAACUCAAGUAUUACUCUGCUCCAAGCUACUACCAAACUAAGGCAUUAAACCGCUAAUUACGCUAAUCCGACCUAUACACCGAAGUUGCAAAGUAUUCCUCUGCCUUGAGGUACUACACUACUAAGGCACCAACAUAUUACACCUCAACCUACGCUUAUGUAGCUGAUUACAAGGAGACUUCUGAAUGCUAGAGCUGAAUUUUAAUUUGAUUAUCUGUGUCGGGAUUUGUGUUCAGAUUUUUCGGUUAUUGUUAUUAGUUGCUAGUCACCGAUAUUUGAUUGUGGAUGUUUAAUGAGCAAAUAAAGAUUUACUUGCGGGUAACCAUCUUGUAAGACCUUAAAUAUUUUUAAACCUUUUGACAAUGCGACAGAUGUUCCUAUUUUGGAGGUAACUACUUCUCUAGUCGCUCUUCAUACGGACAUAUCCUGGUCUUUGGACGAAAUUCUUUUUCAGGGAUGGCGUAACAAAGGAGUUCAUGGCAGACAUUGUGUUUGGCCCCUUCACAAAACCUUAUUCAAAGAGAGAUGCCUUUAUAAGUAAUAGCCAAGUGUCUUUAUGCAUGAAUGUAAAACUUCAAGAUCGAACAAAUAUAAUGUUUUAUUUGCU